GGAGCCUUUGUCAUUGAACCUGCAGAGCAAGAAGCUGGCCUUGGACAUCCAGAGGGAACAUCCAGGGAACAACAACCUCCAUUUCUAAGAAAGGCUGCUACUGCAUGGCUUGUGUGGCCCACUCUGGGAUGGCUGCAGAUGAAAUAGCAGAGAAUAUUGAUUCAGCUGUCAGCACCAUCGUGACAAAACUACGGGUUAGGUGAGUUUACUGCCAGGAUGUCUUCCUGAUCUCCCUAAUCAAUUGUACCCCGUCAUCACAGAUAUUUACACUUUUAUUAUACGUUAAAUGGUCAGGUAUACUCAAUGUUUAUUAAUGCUAAAGAAAUGUGUGGGCCCAGUCUGAAAAUCACCUUUGAUAUCUCUGUUGUCUGAGGUGAGAUUACAGGGCCUAUAGUACUGUGGUACGUUAAGCUUAUUGCCUGCUCUGUAUAGCAGUGUGAUUAAACCCAUGUGCCUACAAUCCUGAUCCUUGACCUGAAUGUAUGAGUGAUUGUGUUCUUUGAGUAUAAAGUGUUGUCUCUUUUGCAGAAAGGACCGUUGAUAAAGGUCAUCCACUUGAAAAGCCAAUCAGUGGCUCUGCCCAUCUACACCUCUAACCUGAGUAACCUGACCCUUAUAGAUGAAACACAGAAACAGACCCGCGCAGCCAUGGAUGCCAAGAAAGGACCGUUGAUAAAGGUCAUCCACUUGAAAAGCCAAUCAGUGGCUCUGCCCAUCUACACCUCUAACCUGAGUAACCUGACCCUUAUAGAUGAAACACAGAAACAGACCCGCGCAGCCAUGGAUGCCAAGAAAAAUGCGCGGAAACAGAAGUCUGCAAAGAAAGAACAGAAGUCUACAGAAAAAAACUCUGGUGCUGACAGGGAGGAAGAGGUUCCCAUAGUAAUGCCAAGGAAAAAGGCUAGUGGAGAAGCCGACCAAGAAGGGACUUGUGAAGGUACCCAAACCAACAGGAGGAAAGGACUGGUUCUGAAUGUAUAUAAACUGUCAAUGUUAAUCGAGCCAAGGACAAACUCAAAUGUGUUGCAAAUCUUUGUCUGCCCCAUAAAAGGGUCUUGUUCAAAAUCAUAUUUUUUAUAAGCCCAACUUGUAAAUUAAAAUAUUACCACAAAGUAUAUUUCAUGUCUUUAAUUUGUUAUCCACAAUGACAUUGU
rnacentral:lncRNA from 1 species